rnacentral:rRNA from 1 species
AUUGAACGCUGGCGGCAUGCCUAACACAUGCAAGUCGAACGGCAGCACGGUCUAGCUUGCUAGAUGGGUGGCGAGUGGCGUACGGGUGAGUAAUGCGUAGGAAUAUACCUUGAAGUGGGGGAUAACUUGGGGAAACUCAAGCUAAUACCGCAUGAGCUCUACGGAGGAAAGCUGGGGACCUGAAAGGGCCUGGCGCUUUAAGAAUAGCUUACGUCCGAUUAGCUAGUUGGAGUGGUAAAGGCACACCAAGGCGAAGAUCGGUAGCUGGUCUGAGAGGACGGACAGCCACACUGGGACUGAGACACGGCCCAGACUCCUACGGGAGGCAGCAGUGGGGAAUAUUGGACAAUGGGGGCAACCCUGAUCCAGCAAUGCCGCGUGUGUGAAGAAGGCCUGCGGGUUGUAAAGCACUUUCGUUGGGGAGGAGGGCUAUUAGGUUAAGAGCUAGAUAGUUGGACGUUACCCAAAGAAGAAGCACCGGCUAACUCCGUGCCAGCCGCCGCAGUAAUAC